rnacentral:rRNA from 1 species
UACGUAGGGUGCGAGCGUUGUCCGGAAUUAUUGGGCGUAAAGGGCUCGUAGGCGGCCUUAUAAGUCAGUGCUGAAAUAUCCCGGCUUAACCGGGAGGGUGGCAUUGAUACUGAAGGACUUGAGUUCAGUCGAGGUAGGCGGAAUUGACGGUGUAGCGGUGAAAUGCUUAGAUAUCGUCAAGAACACCGAUAGUGUAGACAGCUUACUAGGCUGAAACUGACGCUGAGGCACGAAAGUGUGGGGAUCAAACAGG